GAUGAACGCUGGCGGCGUGCCUAAUACAUGCAAAUAGAACGCUGAAGGAAGGAGCUUGCUCUUUCCGGAUGAGUUGCGAACGGGUGAGUAACGCGUAGGUAACCUGCCUGGUAGCGGGGGAUAACUAUUGGAAACGAUAGCUAAUACCGCAUAACAGUAGAUGUUGCAUGAUAUCUACUUAAAAGGUGCAAUUGCACCACUACCAGAUGGACCUGCGUUGUAUUAGCUAGUUGGUGAGGUAACGGCUCACCAAGGCGACGAUACAUAGCCGACCUGAGAGGGUGAUCGGCCACACUGGGACUGAGACACGGCCCAGACUCCUACGGGAGGCAGCAGUAGGGAAUCUUCGGCAAUGGACGGAAGUCUGACCGAGCAACGCCGCGGGAGUGAAGAAGGUUGUCGGAUCGUAAAGCUCUGUUGUAAGAGAAGAACGAGUGUGAGAGUGGAAAGUUCACACUGUGACGGUAUCUUACCAGAAAGGGACGGCUAACUACGUG
rnacentral:rRNA from 1 species